CCUACGGGAGGCAGCAGUGGGGAAUAUUGGACAAUGGGCGCAAGCCUGAUCCAGCCAUGCCGCGUGUGUGAAGAAGGAAACCUUCGGGUUGUAAAGCACUUUUGUCCGGAAAGAAAAGCACUCGGUUAAUACCCGGGUGUCAUGACGGUACCGGAAGAAUAAGCACCGGCUAACUUCGUGCCAGCAGCCGCGGUAAUACGAAGGGUGCAAGCGUUACUCGGAAUUACUGGGCGUAAAGCGUGCGUAGGUGGUUUGUUAAGUCUGAUGUGAAAGCCCUGGGCUCAACCUGGGAAUGGCAUUGGAUACUGGCAAUCUAGAGUGCGGUAGAGGGGUGUGGAAUUCCCGGUGUAGCAGUGAAAUGCGUAGAUAUCGGGAGGAACAUCUGUGGCGAAGGCGACACCCUGGACCAGCACUGACACUGAGGCACGAAAGCGUGGGGAGCAAACAGGAUUAGAUACCCUGGUAGUCCACGCCCUAAACGAUGCGAACUGGAUGUUGGGAGCAACUAGGCUCUCAGUAUCGAAGCUAACGCGUUAAGUUCGCCGCCUGGGAAGUACGGUCGCAAGACUGAANCUCAAAGGAAUUGACGGGGGCCCGCACAAGCGGUGGAGUAUGUGGUUUAAUUCGAUGCAACGCGAAG
rnacentral:rRNA from 1 species